rnacentral:rRNA from 1 species
UACGGGGGGAGCAAACGUUGUUCGGAAUCACUGGGCGUAAAGGGCGUGUAGGCGGCUGAAUGAGUGGGAUGUUAAAUCCCCCGGCUCAACCGGGGAACUGCAUCUCAUACUGUUCAGCUUGGGUACAGCAGAGGAGACUGGAAUUCCCGGUGUAGCGGUGAAAUGCGUAGAUAUCUGGAGGAACACCGGUGGCGAAGGCGGCAUCCUGGACCGGUAUUGACGCUGAGGCGCGAAAGCCAGGGGAGCAAACGGG